rnacentral:rRNA from 1 species
ACGAACGCUGGCGGCGUGCUUAACACAUGCAAGUCGUACGGUAAGGCCCUUUCGGGGGUACACGAGUGGCGAACGGGUGAGUAACACGUGAGUAACCUGCCCACAACUUUGGGAUAAUGCUAGGAAACUGGUGCUAAUACUGGAUAUGUGCUCCUGCUGCAUGGUGGGGGUUGGAAAGCUCCGGCGGUUGUGGAUGGACUCGCGGCCUAUCAGCUUGUUGGUGGGGUAGUGGCCUACCAAGGCGGCGACGGGUAGCCGGCCUGAGAGGGUGACCGGCCACAUUGGGACUGAGAUACGGCCCAGACUCCUACGGGAGGCAGCAGUGGGGAAUAUUGCACAAUGGGCGCAAGCCUGAUGCAGCAACGCCGCGUGCGGGAUGACGGCCUUCGGGUUGUAAACCGCUUUCAGCAGGGACGAAGCUUUUUGUGACGGUACCUGCAGAAGAAGCACCGGCUAACUACGUG